AAGAUUCUAGUUAAAGUCAUAACACUGCCUUGUCAAGGCAGAGAUGUGGGUUAAACCCCCACGUAUCUUG
rfam:Oryzias latipes DNA, scaffold2480, strain: Hd-rR.